UGAGGAAUAUUGGUCAAUGGGUGCAAGCCUGAACCAGCCAUCCCGCGUGAAGGACGACUGCCCUAUGGGUUGUAAACUUCUUUUGUAUAGGGAUAAACCUACCCUCGUGAGGGUAGCUGAAGGUACUAUACGAAUAAGCACCGGCUAACUCCGUGCCAGCAGCCGCGGUAAUACGGAGGGUGCAAGCGUUAUCCGGAUUUAUUGGGUUUAAAGGGUCCGUAGGCGGACUUAUAAGUCAGUGGUGAAAGCCUGUCGCUUAACGAUAGAACUGCCAUUGAUACUGUAAGUCUUGAGUAUAUUUGAGGUAGCUGGAAUAAGUAGUGUAGCGGUGAAAUGCAUAGAUAUUACUUAGAACACCAAUUGCGAAGGCAGGUUACCAAGAUAUAACUGACGCUGAGGA
rnacentral:rRNA from 1 species